AGUAUACGAUGCCGACGAGCAAGACUACAUUGGAUAUCUCUGCGGUCUGGGAUACAACCACACUGAACUUCAGAUCCUCACGCAAACUUCGGCUAAGUGUCCUGACAACCCCACAGACCUCAACUAUCCAUCCAUUGCCAUCUCCGAUUUGCGCCGCAGCAAAGUCGUGCAGAGGCGAGUGACGAACGUGGACGAUGAUGCGACGAAUUACACGGCAUCUAUCGAGGCACCGGAGAGUGUGUCGGUGUCGGUUCAUCCAUCGGUGCUGCGGUUCAAGCACAAGGGCGAGACGAAAGCAUUCCAGGUGAUAUUUAGAGUGGAGGACGACUCAAACAUUGAUAAGGAUGUUUUCGGGAAGCUGAUAUGGAGCAACGGAAAGUAUACGGUCACAAGCCCCAUUGCAGUCAAGCCAAGCAGAUCUUAAGCAAUUUUUGGGAUGGAAUAAAAUUUCGAACAUAAAAUAAAAUUUCGAAACAUUCGUGUUCUGGUAGAUUUUUUUGCCUGGUAGAUUUUUUGCCUCGGAGGCUCAUGCAAAAGCCAAUCAAUUUCCAGACCAUGGAUGCCAAGUGCUCCAACUGUCAGCGAACAUCCAUUGGAGCUUAAUCAUUAUUAGUAUAAUCUUGGGGCAAUAUUGAUCACCUUACCUAUCGCAUGCGAAGCAAUUGCUCUACCAUGUGAACUACACCCUUUUAACACACGCCAUUUUUUAUGUUCUCCAUUGUGACCCACAAAAGCAUAUUCGGUCAAGUGAUAUUAAUGGCAAAGAGAACAGGAAGAAAGAAAGAAUUUAGGGUUCUACGGCCCCAGAUGGUCGAUCUGGGGCAGGGAUCUUUGCGUGUGGACGGAGCAUCGAUGGUGUGCAAGGAAUCGGCGAGGUAGCGCUUCCAAUAUCGCUGGACGGCGCCUUUACGCUCCAGGAAGCGCCGCCGUAUGGGCUUGGGAAUCGGACUCUGGUCGACACAGCCGUGCGAAGAGCUUGGCAGAUCGAUGGUGGCAAAGUCUUGUCGCAUUUUUCCAGCCACACUGUCCAAGCCGUCGCUGCUAUUGCUGUUCGUGGCUUGGGGAUGGAUCCGAUUUGUGCAAGCUGCUGGUUUACGAAUCAGGUGGGAAACACAUAUUAUCCAUUUCCUCUCUUUCCUCGUACUCUUUCGUUGUUUGCGUUUUUUCUUGGCUAGUCUUCACUCUAUUUUACGUCCUUGUUUGAUUUCUUACGUGUUUAGAUUUCAGUGUUUCAUAGCUAGUUUCUCUUUGCGUGGGUCUUUCUUAUACUUGGUAGAAGGAAUCUGAUCUUGUUCUUUCACAAGAUGGACAGUUCAAGCUACACCGAGACAUCGAGAAGGAGCCUGGCAUGUUUGCCACUCUCAUACUCCAGCUCCCUGCAUGGUUGCCAGGGAGGUGCUCUCGUGGUUCAGCAUGGCAACCUCACUUUGACGCUGGCUUCAAGGACACCGUCUUCUUUGCCGACUGCGAGCAUGAAAUCCAGCCAGUGAGACGAGGAAGGUGUGCGUGCAUUUCAACCUGGUACGCAAGACGAACGUUAGAUCCAACAGAGCUCUGUGCGAAGUUAGUACCGCGACUGUGCUACGAGUGAAGUCAUCUCUCGCACCUUAGAUCCAGGAUGCAAAUUCGUCGUUAGAGAAGUUGGUCUUUUGUGUACACGGAGACAAAUCUUUGCUUCUCUGGACUUAAAAGAUCAAGACAGGCUGGUGGUGGAGCUCCUAGGAAACGUACCGGUACUGCAGUGCUGCUGUGGUGUUUUGGCAGAAACGCAAGAGCAUCGAGCUCGUUUGCCGGGGCAGGACUUGAAGGAGCUCUGGACAUGGUGGAGUGGAGGGAGCUUCGGACUUCUCGGCUUGGCUCAUAUAUCUAGUUAAGUACUAUAUUGCGGAUAUGAGCUCCUACGAUCACUACAGGAGGAACGGAAACUUUUGCCGCUUGAUCAAGCUUUGCCUUGACUCGGGUGAUUCCAACUAAGUUUAUCGGCUGAUCGAGGUGCUGGGACAGGAAAGAAGCUCCCACAAUCACUACACGAGAUAUCUUUUGAAGGGAUCAAGUCCGUUAAGGUUGCAAAGGUGGUUGCUCAAGCCCCCAAGUUUCUGGGAUGGGAUGCCCCGAGAGAUCUCGUUUUGAAGCUUCUCCGGAGCUAGACCAGUUCGUGUUCUUCUGCCGUAAUCUCGAUAGCUGAGAUGCUCUUCGCCCUGAGGCUGCACGAUCAAAUUCCGUUCUUCAUCGAGUAGAAAGCUGGAACGGGAGAUGUUUGCAAGCUGCUCAUCAACCUCUGGAAGCAAGACGCUGCUCAACGCGUCCGUUGGAAGAACGAUACUUACCUCUAUCCGAAGCUUUGCGGGGUGGUCACAACCACGAGAAGAAAGUUUGUAUCUCGUCAGAUGAAAUCCAAAGAAGAAAUCUUGUUAGGGCUACAAGAUCACCAAAAGAAAAUCUACCAGCAUUGAUCCUGGAAGAAAUCCAGCGUUUCCAGGAGGCGCGCUAUGGCCCGGAAUGGUUUAGGGCUUAGCCUUGUCUGGUCUGCCUGCCAUGGCAAGAAACAUUGCGAAAAAGAUGCUGUGCAAUUGGGCUUAUACUGAAAGUUGCAGCUUUAGCGGACAAACAGCACUAGAUCACUCUAUCAAAGACUGGUGUCCCAGUUAAACUGAGGCUAUUUCAGGGUUAAUGUACACAAUGAUGUUUUUUCAUCCCCAACAUGCACUGUAAGCAUUCAAUAGCUUGAAGUUCUUCCUUCAAUUCACGUGAACUGAAGGAUAAACUUCACUGGCUGAAGCCUUGGAGGUUAAAGUAUAUAAAAUAAUAAAAAAGAAUAUACAAUAUCAAAAUAAUCUUGAUUUUGAAAUUCUAGCCACUACUUAAACCCAUCUUCCUAGCUAGAAGUACGUGAUGCAAACCAGUAUUAACAGCGUCUGGAUGAAGAACACUCCCCAUGAGUGUUUCCUUCUUGUCCGAGCAAAUCAAUCAAGCUGAGAAAGAACUAUUAUAAUCUGUCAGCUAGUGAUGCUAAAUUCUCGUGAUAUAAUUUAACAUCGACAAUUCUCCUGAAUAAGUCGUAUUUCAAAGAGCUAUAAUUUGUAAACUCGUGAUAUACUUUACCAUCACUAGCCCUUGACAAAUUCUCCUGAAUAAGUCAUAUAAGUCAAACAAGCCGGCCUGAGAUGCGCGUCACAGGAAAUUUUCCGCAGUUUCCAAUAUAAAUGAUUACAUCUUCUUCCUGCAAUUCUCAAAUACAAUUCUUCGAGUUCAUGGCGCUCUCAAUCUGUUUAUACGUUCUUCUAAGUUUAAGUGCCAUCUCCAUCUCUCAGGUCUUUACCUUUCUUAUCUCGCAGGAGACAAUCUUUUAAAGCUGGUUUGAUUUUAUUUCCAGGGACGAGAUCAAGGAGACACUCACAUUGUCUAUUUGGGGAAUGUCGAUAAAUCCCUCCAUCCAGACGCUGUUACAAGCUCCCAUCACGCACUCCUUGGGGAUGUUCUAGGAAGGUAAAACUCCAGAAGAAAAAAAUUAUGAAUUCAUCCAAAUUCGUGUAUUCCAGUGUCAAAGCUGCCAGAGAAUCAAUCGGUUUUAGCUACAGGCAUGGAUUUAGUGGCUUCUCGGCUCGUUUGACAGAAGAACAAGCUUCUAAACUCUCUGGUAACGCAUCAUAGAAACAUUAUACAUAAUCUAAGUCAAUAAUCUUUAUCCAUAUUGCAGGUCUCCCAAACGUCUUGUCCGUCUUUCGCAAUGAAAUCCACACGGUCCACACCACAAACUCAUGGGAAUUUCUGGGACUCUAUGGAAGCGGAGAGAAAUCCUUGUUUGGUGCUAGUGAAGCUACUGAAUCAUCGUGGUUAUGGAAGAAAUCAAAAUUCGGCAAGGACGUUAUCAUUGGUGUUUUGGAUUCAGGUAUUUCUCUCUUUCAUCUUCUUCUUGUUUUCAUGGUCGGCAGGAGAAGGUCCGCCGACUUUGCUAGCAUGGGAGAGGGCUUGGACUAAUGUUGGUUUUCCCAGGAGUAUGGCCAGAGUCGGAAAGCUUUUCGGAUCAUGGCAUGGGACCAACCCCCGAAAGAUGGAAAGGAACUUGCGAAACUGGGGAGCAAUUCAACGCUUCUCACUGCAACAAGUAAAAACAACACUCAAGUGAAUUAAAAUUUUUUCAACUUAUGAUCUUUCAGGAAACUUAUCGGUGCCAGAUUCUUUUCUCACGGCCUACAGGAUGGUCCUGAGGCUUAUGCAAAAGCACACCAAGAAGUUCUUUCUCCAAGAGAUGUUCACGGCCACGGAACUCACACGGCUUCCACUGCCGGAGGCCGAUUCGUGAGAAACACAAACUGGCUUGGCUACGCAAAAGGCACUGCAAAAGGUGGCGCUCCAGACUCACGCCUCGCGAUCUAUAAGAUCUGCUGGAGAAACAUCACGAACGGCAGCGCAGGGUGCCCGGAUUCUCACAUUCUCAGCGCAUUUGAUAUGGGAAUCCACGAUGGCGUAGAUAUUUUUUCUGCGUCGAUCAGUGGAUCGGGCGAUUACUUCCAGCACGCACUGUCGAUCGGUUCAUUCCAUGCCAUGCAGAAAGGCAUUGUGGUGGUAGCUUCUGCUGGAAACGACCAGCAAACUGUGGGUCCUGGCUCUGUGCAAAAUGUAGCUCCUUGGGUCAUCACUGUUGGAGCGAGCACUCUUGAUCGAUCCUAUUUUGGAGACCUUUACCUUGGCAACAAUAAAUCAUUUCGGGGUUUAAGUAUGACGGAGCAAAGAUUAAAAAAGCGGUGGUAUCAUCUUGCUGCGGGGGCCGAUGUUGGCUUGCGAACUUCCAACUUUUCAGCCAGGUAAAAUAUCAAUCUAUAGAUUUGAGUUAAAGAAAUAUUAAUGCUGCAGGCAAUUGUGUAUGAGCCAGUCUUUGGAUCCCAAGAAAGUCCGGGGAAAGAUUGUGGCAUGCUUGAGAGGGCCGAUGCAUCCAGCAUUCCAAUCAUUCGAAGUUUCCCGAGCUGGCGGAGCUGGGAUUAUCUUUUGCAACUCCACUCUAGUCGAUCAAAAUCCUGGAAAUGAAUUUCUUCCCUCAGUUCAUGUCGACGAAGAAGUUGGACAAGCCAUCUUUUCAUAUAUCAAAUCUACAAGGUAAAAUCUUCGUUCUUCUUUCUGUUUCUUACCUUUGUGUGCCUGGCAGAAAUCCUGUAGCGGAUAUACAGCAUCAGAUAUCAUUGAGAAAUCAAAAGCCUGCUCCUUUCAUGGCACCUUUUUCUUCCUCUGGUCCCAACUUCAUUGAUCCAGACAUUCUCAAGGUUUGUCAAUGUUUUCUGUCUAUUUGUUUUGGUAGAUUUUGAAGAUUUUUGUUCUUUCAGCCGGAUAUUACAGCUCCAGGAGUAUACAUUCUAGCAGCAAACACACAAUUCAACAACUCUCAAAUAUCAUACAAAUUCGACUCUGGAACUUCCAUGUCUUGCCCUCACGUCACUGGGAUUGUUGCCCUACUAAAAUCCUAUCGUCCAGCCUGGAGUCCAGCAGCAAUCAAAUCAGCCAUAGUAACAACAGGUAACUAAGUGAUACAUCUUUGUUUGUUACUGACACUUCAAAACAAAACAGGUUACUCAUUCGAUAAUCUUGGAGAACCAAUCAAGAACUCAUCAAGAGCUCCUGCAUCACCCUUUGAUUUUGGUGGAGGGCAUGUAAAUCCAAAUGCUGCUGCACACCCUGGCCUAGUAUACGACGCCGACGAGCAAGACUACAUUGGAUAUCUCUGCGGUCUGGGAUACAACCAGACUGAACUUCAGAUCCUCACGCAAACUUCCGCUAAGUGUCCCGACAACCCCACAGACCUCAACUAUCCAUCCAUUGCCAUCUCCGAUUUGCGCCGCAGCAAAGUCGUGCAGAGGCGAGUGACGAACGUGGACGAUGAUGUGACGAACUACACAGCAUCUAUCGAGGCACCAGAGAG
rnacentral:lncRNA from 1 species